rnacentral:snRNA from 1 species
AUACUUACCUGGAUGGGGUCAAUGGAUGAUCAAGAAGGUCCAUGACCUAGGUUGGUGACCUCCAUUGCACUUAGGCGGGGCGCUUGCUUAAGGUGUUCUCAAGUAGAACAGCCUACAUCAUAAUUUGUUGCAGUGGGGGCUGCGUUCGCGCGGCCCCUU